AAAAAACAUAAAGAAAGGAAAAGUUGUGCCCACUUGCUGGUUUCUCACUAUUACUACCUUUUACUUUUCUUUUCUUACUU
rnacentral:ribozyme from 14 species